rnacentral:lncRNA from 1 species
CGGAGUCAAAUUUAUCAAAUAGGGGAUGAAAGCCACUAAUGCUUCCCUCUCAUGUAGAUCAGUGGUCACAAUCUUUGGUACUUUCUCUCGUCCCACGUGCCCAUCAUUAGUUUAAGCUAAAUUGAGGCUUUUGGGCUCUGGGUUUUCAUAGGGACAUACAUGUUAGAUUCGAGUGGGCUUACAAGUGCCAAUUUGUUGCUUUGUUAUGGAAAGUGAGAGACAUUCAGCAUAAUUGUGUGCCUACUUGUGAGUUUUGGUGCACAAACAUUUUGUUUAGUAGUAUGAUCAUGAC